rnacentral:tRNA from 1 species
GCCUGGAUGGCUCAGUUGGUUGAGCAUCCGACUUCGGCUCGGGUCAUGAUCUCACAGUUCAUGGGUUCGAGCCCCACAUCGGGCU